rnacentral:rRNA from 1 species
GGUUAAGCGACUAAGCGUACACGGUGGAUGCCCUGGCAGUCAGAGGCGAUGAAGGGCGUGCUAAUCUGCGAUAAGCGCCGGUAAGGUGAUAUGAACCGUUAUAACCGGCGAUACCCGAAUGGGGAAACCCAGUGUGACUCGUCACACUAUCAUUAACUGAAUCCAUAGGUUAAUGAGGCGAACCGGGGGAACUGAAACAUCUAAGUACCCCGAGGAAAAGAAAUCAACCGAGAUUCCCCCAGUAGCGGCGAGCGAACGGGGAGGAGCCCAGAGCCUGAAUCAGCAUGUGUGUUAGUGGAAGCGUCUGGAAAGGCGCGCGAUACAGGGUGACAGCCCCGUACACAAAAGCGCAUGUGCUGUGAGCUCGAUGAGUAGGGCGGGACACGUGGUAUCCUGUCUGAAUAUGGGGGGACCAUCCUCCAAGGCUAAAUACUCCUGACUGACCGAUAGUGAACCAGUACCGUGAGGGAAAGGCGAAAAGAACCCCGGCGAGGGGAGUGAAAAAGAACCUGAAACCGUGUACGUACAAGCAGUGGGAGCACCCUUUGGGGUGUGACUGCGUACCUUUUGUAUAAUGGGUCAGCGACUUAUAUUCUGUAGCAAGGUUAACCGAAUAGGGGAGCCGGAGGGAAACCGAGUCUUAAUUGGGCGUUAAGUUGCAGGGUAUAGACCCGAAACCCGGUGAUCUAGCCAUGGGCAGGUUGAAGGUUGGGUAACACUAACUGGAGGACCGAACCGACUAAUGUUGAAAAAUUAGCGGAUGACCUGUGGCUGGGGGUGAAAGGCCAAUCAAACCGGGAGAUAGCUGGUUCUCCCCGAAAGCUAUUUAGGUAGCGCCUCGUGAAUUCAUCUCCGGGGGUAGAGCACUGUUUCGGCUAGGGGGCCAUCCCGGCUUACCAACCCGAUGCAAACUGCGAAUACCGGAGAAUGUUAUCACGGGAGACACACGGCGGGUGCUAACGUCCGUCGUGAAGAGGGAAACAACCCAGACCGCCAGCUAAGGUCCCAAAGUCAUGGUUAAGUGGGAAACGAUGUGGGAAGGCCCAGACAGCCAGGAUGUUGGCUUAGAAGCAGCCAUCAUUUAAAGAAAGCGUAAUAGCUCACUGGUCGAGUCGGCCUGCGCGGAAGAUGUAACGGGGCUAAACCAU